GUCUCAGGCCGUAUCAGCCUGAAGGCGCCCGAUCUCGUCUGAUCUCGGAAGCUAAGCAGGGUCGGGCCUGGUUAGGAUCUUGGAUGGGCGACCACCUGGGAAUCCCGGGUGCUCGAGGCU
rnacentral:rRNA from 1 species